AGAGUUUGAUCCUGGCUCAGGACGAACGCUGGCGGCGUGCUUAACACAUGCAAGUCGAACGGUGAAGUCCCUUCGGGGGCGGAUCAGUGGCGAACGGGUGAGUAACACGUGGGCAAUCUGCCCCUCACUGUGGGAUAACUCCGGGAAACCGGGGCUAAUACCGCAUAUGAAGCCUGGCGGCAUCGCCGGGUUUGGAAAGUUUUUCGGUGAGGGAUGAGCCCGCGGCCUAUCAGCUUGUUGGUGAGGUAAUGGCUCACCAAGGCGACGACGGGUAGCCGGCCUGAGAGGGCGACCGGCCACACUGGGACUGAGACACGGCCCAGACUCCUACGGGAGGCAGCAGUGGGGAAUAUUGGGCAAUGGGCGAAAGCCUGACCCAGCGACGCCGCG
rnacentral:rRNA from 1 species